rnacentral:rRNA from 1 species
CCUACGGGGGGGCAGCAGUGGGGAAUAUUGGACAAUGGGCGAAAGCCUGAUCCAGCCAUGCCGCGUGUGUGAAGAAGGUCUUCGGAUUGUAAAGCACUUUAAGUUGGGAGGAAGGGUUGUAGAUUAAUACUCUGCAAUUUUGACGUUACCGACAGAAUAAGCACCGGCUAACUCUGUGCCAGCAGCCGCGGUAAUACAGAGGGUGCAAGCGUUAAUCGGAAUUACUGGGCGUAAAGCGCGCGUAGGUGGUUAGUUAAGUUGGAUGUGAAAUCCCCGGGCUCAACCUGGGAACUGCAUUCAAAACUGACUGACUAGAGUAUGGUAGAGGGUGGUGGAAUUUCCUGUGUAGCGGUGAAAUGCGUAGAUAUAGGAAGGAACACCAGUGGCGAAGGCGACCACCUGGACUGAUACUGACACUGAGGUGCGAAAGCGUGGGGAGCAAACAGGAUUAGAUACCCCAGUAGUC